UUUUGUUUUGUGUUUGAAAAUGCAAAUGAUGCAUGAAUGUUUUAUUUUUUUGUUUUUAAUGCAAAGAUCUUUAGUUAUUUAUGUUGUUUAUUGCAAGAAAUACUUAACGAUUUACGUUUGUAAUCAAGAAUAAAGGAAAGCAACAAAGUGAAUCACAAAAGCUUCAUUCGUCCUUUGAAGGGAAUCAUAUAAAUUAUAAAUACAUUGGAA
rnacentral:lncRNA from 1 species